rnacentral:rRNA from 1 species
UACGGAGGAUCCGAGCGUUAUCCGGAUUUAUUGGGUUUAAAGGGUGCGCAGGCGGGAGAUUAAGUCGGCGGUGAAAUUUUGCAGCUCAACUGUAAAAGUGCCUUCGAAACUGGUUUCCUUGAGUGUAGAUGAAGUAGGCGGAAUUUGUGGUGUAGCGGUGAAAUGCAUAGAUAUCACGAGGAACUCCGAUUGCGCAGGCAGCUUACUAAGCCAUAACUGACGCUCAGGCACGAAGGCGUGGGGAUCAAACAGGAUUAGAUACCCGUGUA